GGCCUCGUCUGGUUAAUGAGGACCGUGAUUCCUCAGGCACCUUCCAGCUUUUCUUUGUAUUCACAGGGGCUCACACGGCCCCUCACUAGGGACAGGACCUCCUCUCCGUUCCGAGUCACCUCAGCAGGACGCUGAGCAGGUGUUGGAGCAGUGACUCCAUGCCUGUCACCUGUAGGGGUGUGUGCGCGCACGUGUGUGUGCGUGUCUGUGUGUGCGUGUGUGUGCGUAGCUGAGACGGAUUUAAAUUGCUGUGAUUUGUCCUCUAGGAGGGGAAACCGAAGUGGUUCUGGUGAACCCGGCAGAGGCCUAUUUUGGGACAUUUACUCUUGGAUGACACUGCUGCCCCAGAGACGUGUGGCCAGCAGGAAGCCCGGCAAUCCCAUUGUUCACAGGUUCACACAAUUCCCAGGGAUCUGAGGUAUGGCUGCAGGGCUCCUCCCUGACGCUGUCCUGAUGCCCUCCCGGGCGGGAGCCCCACCUCCCCUAUCCUCUCUUCCUUCUCCCUGGGAGCCGAGUACUUUACCCCUCUCCUGUCAGAAAGCCAGAGAUGUCGUUCACUUGAUGCGAAUGAGCAAAAGCCGGACGGACCGCUAUGGUAUCGCCUUGGAGGUCCCAGAGGCGCAUCUUGGGGAACGCGCUGCCCACCCGGGGCCCUUCCGCCGCCCGAGAAGCGGUGACAGCGGAGCUCCAGUCGGGCCAGGGGCGUGGACAGCACCCAGAAGCAGCCGNNAGGUGGGGUGUGCCAUGGACACGCGGCCGGUCGGCUCUGCGCGGCGAGGCCCGCCCGGGCGUGGUGGUCAUCGCUACCAUUUUAUUGAUCCCAGGGGCACGGCGGGCCUUCCCUCCGGCUUCUAGGCUUCCAGGGGCCAGGAGGAGUGCGCUAACAAUGAAAGACAGCGGGGAAUUGUGGCUGCGAAGGUCUGGACGCCGCGGACGCAGAUCACCCAGGCCGCACAGCGGUUCAGAGGCGGAAGAACCAGUUCCGGUUCGGCCUCCACGUGGUCAUAGUGCGGGCUCUGCUUGCGCGGCGCCGGGCUGGAGGCGUCUUUUUCCGGUUUGGAAAGCUGGGUCUCUGUGUGUGGCGGGGUGGGAGGGUUUGCUCCGGGCCUCUGUCCUCCGGGUCACCGCAGCGGGAAGGCCACACCUCGGCCACAACUCCAGAGUUGUGCUAGGAAAGCGGUCUCGCCGUCCAGAGAGCUGGCGCCUUGCACCCUGGAAAAUCUUGGCCAGCGCCCCUCUCCAACCCAGUUUCCGGUUUGGAAAGCUGGGUCUCUGUGUGUGGCGGGGUGGGAGGGUUUGCUCCGGGCCUCUGUCCUCCGGGUCACCGCAGCGGGAAGGCCACACCUCGGCCACAACUCCAGAGUUGUGCUAG
rnacentral:lncRNA from 1 species